UGACCUCGAGGUCGACAAAAACGCGACGUCCUGUCGCAUUGUCGACACUCGUACGUCCUGUACG
rnacentral:sRNA from 1 species